rnacentral:rRNA from 1 species
UACGAAGGGGGCUAGCGUUGCUCGGAUUGACUGGGCGUAAAGGGCGCGCAGGCGGUUCGGCACGUCCGUUGUGAAAUCGCUCGGCUCAACUGGGCGGGGUCAGCGGAUACGGUCGAACUUGAGCAAGCUAGGGGGCAAUGGAAUUCCCGGUGUAGUGGUGGAAUGCGUAGAUAUCGGGAGGAACACCAGUGGCGAAGGCGGUUGCCUGGAGCUUUGCUGACGCUGAGGCGCGAAAGCGUGGGGAGCGAUCCGG